GGCCGACCGGACGAAGUGGGUGAAGUAACGCGUACUACCAACCUCGCCGUGUGCUCAUGGAUACGCCCUUAAGAAAGUGAGGAUUAAUACAUGAUGGUCUUCCUUUGAUCGCCUGAGAGUUGGGAAGUAAAGAUUAAUUGGCACACGAGUGGGGAUGCGUUCCAUUAGAUAGUUGGCGGGGUAACCGGCCCACCAAGUCGAUGAUGGAUAGGGGUUCUGAGAGGAAGGUCCCCCCACACUGGUACUGAGACACGGACCAGACUCCUACGGGAGGCAGCAGUGAGGAAUAUUGGUCAAUGGGCGAGAGCCUGAACCAGCCAAGUAGCGUGAAGGAAGACGGCCCUACGGGUUGUAAACUUCUUUUGUCGGGGAAUAACAAGCGCCACGUGUGGCGCCCUGCAUGUACCCGGUGAAUAAGGACCGGCUAAUUCCGUGCCAGCAGCUGC
rnacentral:rRNA from 1 species